UUUACAAAAACAAUUUAUAUUAACAUCAAAAUUAAACAAAAAAUACACGUUUAUAUUUUGACACGUGUGAAUAUUAAAAAAAGCCGACAAAAAAUUUAUUUGGAUUGAAAGUGAAAUGGAAACUCUUAUAUAAGGAGGAAGUGAGGGAGCACCUAGAUCCAAAACAAUAAUGGAAAAUUGGAUAAAAAAUGGGGAAAUUAAAAUUAGGGUUUGGAAAUGAAUAAUAAAAAAAAAUAAGAAAAAAAUAAAGGAAGAAAGAUGAAUUUUGUUUUGUGUGUUGUGUUAGUGUAUGAUUGACGAAUGAAUGUGAUAUGUAUCCUUAAAUGGAAAAAUUACCCUUUAACUUCCUCUUUGGAUUUAUAAAUUUAUCAUUACAGAGAAAACUGUUUUAUGACAAAAUUACCUUUUAACUUCCUCUUUGUCUUUAUAAAUUUAUCAUUACAGAGAAAAUUGUUUUUAUAUUUUAUGUUUCUAGUCAUCACCACAUAAUAAAACUAACCUUCAUGUACAUUUGAGAUCAAUUAACCGCUACAAAAUUUCUUGGUUUCAUUCUCUCAACCGACCAUCAUUCUCUUGACAGUUACAAUUUUAUUUGCUCAACCGCUCAUCAUCCUUUUGGAAGUCAUGAUUUCAUUCUCUCAACUACUCAUCAUCCUCUCGGCGGCUCUCAAUGCUUUGAAAUUAAAAUUAUUCUAUCUUCAUCCCACAAAAGAAAAUUUAAACUUUAAGAGCUUUCAUAUGAAGGUUCCUCCUUAUCCAUAUUCAAUUAUAACUUUUUUUCACCAUUCUUUCCAUAAUAUAUUCAUUAAACUUAUUAAUGGGGAAAUUUGUGAGGUGAUAGAGAGUCGGUUGCAAAGGUAUGAUAUGCGAUCGAAGGGCGAGUCUUUGACAAGAAACAUAUAGGUUUUUGUAGGCCUGUCCCAUUGUGGAGAUGAACACCAAUGCAAAAGCAUGGUGCAUAUACUACUAACUCAGAAAAUGUCAUUCAUGGUGACAGUGAGAUUUUAUUUUACAUAUUUUGUAGUCUCUUUUAUUUCAUUUGUAUUUUGAUUAUAUUUCUUCUUUUAAUAAUAACAAUAUUUUUAACCUCUGUUUUCAUAAUGGUUUUUCUAUUCCGGAGCUUGCAUGUGGGGGAUUAUUUCUUUACAUUUUUACAAACUGUGUUAUUCAUAAUCAAAUUUAUCACUGGUAUAUAGAUGUUGUUAAUAACAAAGAUUCUCUCAUUCCAAAAAUCAUAAAGGUUCAAUAUGGACCCAAAGAUGAAUUUGGAGUGUUUCUCAGUUCCCAUUUUCUAAACAGCAUCUAACUUGAAUUGAAAUAUGUCAAAUUUUGUCUCUCUAUUCAACUUAAACACAAUAUUUUCUCUUGCAAUUACACAUAUAACUUUUUUUUCCAAAUCUAUAUUAACUUUUUUAUUCUUGCCAGUAAAGAUUAACAUUUAGUUGUGAACAUAAUGCUAUAAAUAUGAAUAUUUCGUUUAACUGCUAUUGAAUCAAACUCUUUUAUUUGUUUAGUUUUUCUUUUCUGAUGGUAAAUACUAAAUAUAGAGUUUUUAAUGAGUUUGGUGAAAGUACAUAUAUAGUUAUAGUUUAAGCAUUUUGGUGUAGCUUUAUGUUUGAUGGUGAUAUAAGAGUAUUUUAGGAACCACAAUACAAGUUACAACAGAGUGAAGUUUCAAUAAAAUUUUGGAGUUUGGUUUUAUAUUACUUUCCUUUCUCCAUAUAAAAGGACAAUUUUCUCAUUUGGAAAAUCAAAAGUGAAGUAACAACGUUAUUGUUGUUGUGUUGUAAACUUUUGAUAAGAGAAUACUUUCUAGAUAAUGACUAAAGAAUUGUAGGGUUGUCACUUUCUAUCUUUUCUUUUUUCUUUAUAAUAUUUCAACUUAAUUUAGAUUUUUUCCCCAACUUUGGUUGCAUUUUUCAUAUAUUUAUUUUUCAAUAUUUUCAAUUAUAGUGUAAAAAUCAUUUCAAUGAAAUCAAAUGGAAAAGUCAAAAAUAAUGUUAGGCCUACUGGAAUUGAAAUGCAUAUUUUAGUAUAUGCAAUGUAUCCAUUAAUGCAUCCUUAUAACAUCAAUCAAUGUGAAUCAAAGUUUAAUUAAUAGAACAGAAAAUUAAAAUGAUAGUAUGUCUAUUUAAUUUAAUCACAUAAAAAAUAUCUAUGAAAUUUAAUAUAUUUGAUACUUUUAUAUAAUUUUUUUAUUAAUGUUCUUAAAUUGUGAAGGAAGAGAGAGAGAGAGAGAGAGAGAGAGAGAGAGAGAGAGAGAGAGAGAGAGGAGAUAAAUCAUAUCACAAAGUUUUUUACAAAAACAGUUUAUAUUAAAAUCAAAAUUAAACAAAAAAUACACGUUUAUAUUUUGACACGUGUGAAUAUUAAAAAAAGCGGACAAAAAAUUUAUUCGGAUUUAAAGUGAAAUGGAAACUCUUAUAUAAGGAGGAAGUGAGGGAGCACCUAGAUCCAAAACAAUAAUGGAAAAUUGGAUAAAAAAUGGGGAAAUUAAAAUUAGGGUUUGGAAAUGAAUAAUAAAAAAAAUUAAGAAAAAAAUAAAGGAAGAAAGAUGAAUUUUGUUUUGUGUGUUGUGUUAGUGUAUGAUAAACUAAUGAAUGUGAU
rnacentral:lncRNA from 1 species